rnacentral:rRNA from 1 species
UACGGAGGGUGCAAGCAUUAAUCGGAUUUAUUGGGCGUAAAGGGCGCGUAGGCGGAGAUAAAAGUCAGAUGUGAAAUCCUGGGGCUCAACCUCAGAACAGCAUUUGAAACUCUAUCCCUUGAGGGUAGGCGGAGAAAACGGAAUUCCACAAGUAGCGGUGAAAUGCGUAGAUAUGUGGAAGAACACCGGUGGCGAAGGCGGUUUUCUAGCUUAUUCCUGACGCUGAUGCGCGAAAGCAAGGGGAUCAAACAGG